rnacentral:rRNA from 1 species
GACGAACGCUGGCGGCGUGCUUAAUACAUGCAAGUGGAGCGACGAACCAGGCUUCGGCCUGGGGCAGAGCCGCGAACGGGUGAGUAACACGUGGGUAACCUGCCUCGAUGACCGGGACAACCCGGGGAACCCGGGCUAAUACCGGAUGUGCUCGUCCCCACAUCAGUGGAGACAGGAAAGGAAGCUUCGGCCUCCGCAUCGAGAUGGGCCCGCGGCCCAUUAGCUUGUUGGUGUGGUAACGGCNCACCAAGGCUGCGAUGGGUAGCUGGUCUGAGAGGACGAUCAGCCACACUGGGACUGAGACACGGCCCAGACUCCUACGGGAGGCAGCAGGUAGGGAAUCUUGCGCAAUGCGACGAAAGCGU